CUAUGAUCUGGAGUUGCUGCAGUUGGUCAGGUCUGGGAUCAGUUCUAAGAUUAGGUCUAGGAUCAGGUCUAGGUUCAGGGCUAGGUUCUGGCCUAGGAUCUGGUCUAGGAUCAGGUCUAGGUUCUGGUCUAGGUUCAGGUUUAGGUUCAGGCCUAGGAUCAGGCCUAGGUUCUGCUCUAGGGUCAGGUCUAGAUUAUGGUCUAGGAUCAGUUCUAAGAUUAGGUCUAGGAUCAGGUCUAGGUUCAGGGCUAGGUUCUGGCCUAGGAUCUGGUCUGGGUUCUGGUCUAGGUUC